GGGCGUAUGGCACAGUUGGUUAGCGCGCAGCCUUCACACGGCUGAGGUCACAGGUUCGAGUCCUGUUACGCCCA
rnacentral:tRNA from 1 species